UGACAGCUGAGGCAUCAGAGGCACUGGGAAGUGGCAGGAAUACUGAUUCCAGCGCAACUGCAUAUGGAAAGGGAAUAAGAAAUGCAGCCCAUAGAGAACUGUCAUGGAAGCUGUAUUCUGCCGGACCAACCUUUUAUUAAUGAUGCAGCCACAGGAGCUCAUUAAGCAUCUGCAGACUACUAGGAUUUUACAUAAAGCACAAACAACAGCCAUAUGGUAGCAAGCAGCCACUCGCAGCCCCACAGCAGCUAAGGAGUCCGCGCAGGCUGGCGGCCAGCAGCACGUGCCCCAGGAGCAGCAGCAGCACCCGCUGCAGAGACAAGGACAGGGGCUGCUCCCAGAUGGCGGGGAUGCAGAGCUCCAUCUCUCAGCCUGAGCUUCCUGCUUCUGCACCUGUCACAUCUGCCCCUGUGGCUCAGUACCCACCGCCACCACCCUCCACUCGGGCACACUACAUAAUCUGCACACACCUCUGGAAGGUCUCUUUGCACAUAGGAUCGACUUUCAGUAUCAGAAUGGCAGAAGAAAUCAUGGAAUCCACAGGGAAUUUGGGCAUAGCAUAUUAGAAGUUACAAGUCUGAUUUUUCUAGGAGCCCUUUUCCAUAGCUG
ensembl:lncRNA